GGGACCUUGCCAGCUCUGUGACCUAAACGCAAGGCCUGGAACACCCACAUGCCUCCUGUGUCUACCCUCAGAGAGGGGGCAUUCUCCUGAAGUGGAAAAAUCAGCCUUUCAUCCUGGAGAUGUUCUAAUCCUGGACAGCCAGCAAAGAUCUCUGCAGGUGAAACACUGGUGGAGCCUUGGCAGCCUCGGUGGAAGGAGCCCAGGGAAAUUCUGGAAACAAUGGUAAAACUAAUCCUUGGCUUUAACUAAUCCUUCGGUUAUGAAGCCCCAGUGUGCCAGGAAGUAGACCAGCAGCUUUCUACUCGCUACGGUGUUUCUGAAGACGGAGAAUAAAUGUUGAUGUAGAAGUUAUUUUUCUGCACGGUUUGAAGCUGAUCACUUUUUAUAUGCAUGUAUUCAAGAUUGUUAUUAUACUUAACGGAUGAUGAUGAGAAUGCAGAUAAUGUUGAUAAGGAAAAAUAAGGUGAAGAGGUUAAUUAUGAAGAAAGAAAAUAUGCAGAAAAGGUAAAUAAUCCAGAAUGUGAACCAAGGAACAAUUAAACUCCAAAGAGGGCAAAGAGGAGAGGACAUAUGCUUUGAAGAGACUCCAAUAUCGCCUAAACACAACCAGCAGUUACUAAAAGUCAUGUUUCUGCAUCUUCUUAAAGGAAUCAAACUACUUUGCUGGGGGUUUUUUUUGAACAAAAGGCCUGGUGUCUUUUUUCCUUCUAGGCUCUGGCAGCUGCUGGGGUUGUCCCUUGCUCUCUCACCUCCGAAAAGAAGUUGCUCCUACCCCCACGGCUUUGACCUGGGGCUGCUCCCUGCCUCUUCCAGCAAUUGCAGGGUACCAUUCCACUGGGGUGCCAAGAUUGUUACCGAAAGUUCGGCACUUGUCCCCUGAAGCCACAUCAGAAAAAGAGGGACAAGUGGUUUGAGGAGAAGGAAAGAGAAGUUUAUUACUUUGCCAGCAAAGGAGGAAAAUGGUAGACAUGGUCUCAAAAUUAAAAUUCCUCUAUUAAACUAUUUUGAUUUAAAAAAUAAAAGAACAUUCCAAAAACCUGUUUGUUCUACUUGAUAUUCUAA